UUGCUUCUGCAGCACAUAUACUAAAAUUAGAACAAUACAGAGAAGAUUAGCAUGCCCCUGUGCAAAGAUGACAUGCAAAUUCAACAAGUAUUCAGUACUUUU